rnacentral:lncRNA from 1 species
CUUUGCUCUGGUCGUGAGUGCAGAAGGGACGAUAUUUUAUGCAUCAGCAACGAUCGUGGACUAUCUGGGCUUCCAUCAGCCUGGAGACCCUUUGGAAACACGAGGUGACGCCACGGUAGUUAUUCAGCUAAGCUUCCCUCUGACGGGCCCUGAGGCUGCCGCCAUAGAGCGGCAGAACCGUGCAGUUCCUGGAGGAGAAGGGGGUUUUGAUUGCGAAAUGUUCCAGUAUCCAGAGUGAACACUGAAGGAG